GCCUUUUUUGGCGCAGUAGGUAGUCGCGCCGUCUCAUAAUCUCAAGGUCGUGAGUUCAAUCCUCACACAGGGCA